rnacentral:rRNA from 1 species
AUUGAACGCUGGCGGCAGGCUUAACACAUGCAAGUCGAGCGGUAGCACAGGGGAGCUUGCUCCCUGGGUGACGAGCGGCGGACGGGUGAGUAAUGUCUGGGAAACUGCCUGAUGGAGGGGGAUAACUACUGGAAAGGUUGCCUAAUACGGCUUAACGUCGCAGGCCCAAAGAGGGGGACCUCCGGGCCUCUGGCAAUCAGAUGUGCCCAGAUGGGAUUGGCUAGUAGGUGGGGUAAUGGCUCACCUAGGCGACGAUCCCUAGCUGGUCUGAGAGGAUGACCAGCCACACUGGAACUGAGACACGGUCCAGACUCCUACGGGAGGCAGCAGUGGGGAAUAUUGCACAAUGGGCGCAAGCCUGAUGCAGCCAUGCCGCGUGUGUGAAGAAGGCCUUCGGGUUGUAAAGCACUUUCAGCGAGGAGGAAGGUGGUGAGCUUAAUACGUUCAUCAAUUGACGUUACUCGCAGAAGAAGCACCGGCUAACUCCGUG